AUUGAACGCUGGCGGCAGGCCUAACACAUGCAAGUCGAGCGGAUGAAGGGAGCUUGCUCCUGGAUUCAGCGGCGGACGGGUGAGUAAUGCCUAGGAAUCUGCCUGGUAGUGGGGGAUAACGUCCGGAAACGGGCGCUAAUACCGCAUACGUCCUGAGGGAGAAAGUGGGGGAUCUUCGGACCUCACGCUAUCAGAUGAGCCUAGGUCGGAUUAGCUAGUUGGUGGGGUAAAGGCCUACCAAGGCGAUUAUCCGUAACUGGUCUGAGAGGAUGAUCAGUCACACUGGAACUGAGACACGGUCCAGACUCCUACGGGAGGCAGCAGUGGGGAAUAUUGGACAAUGGGCGAAAGCCUGAUCCAGCCAUGCCGCGUGUGUGAAGAAGGUCUUCGGAUUGUAAAGCACUUUAAGUUGGGAGGAAGGGCAGUAAGUUAAUACCUUGCUGUUUUGACGUUACCAACAGAAUAAGCACCGGCUAACUUCGUG
rnacentral:rRNA from 1 species